AUUUUCCACUGUCUGAUUUUCCUGAUCACUUUGCACAGCAAAUGUGUGAACUGCUUUCAUUUUUAACUUUGAAAAUUUGCUGCCCUGUCUUAGCUUCAAGGAAAACAGCAUCAGCUUUCCAGGGGAUGUAGAUCCUAGAGGACUUUGAAGUCGCUGACACAUCACUUGCCUUGUGUGCUUCUCCGGUUGUCAGCAGCCAGCAUUGCCUGUGAUACGCUGUGCUUGCAAUCCCUUCUACCAAGUUCUGCAGCACCCAGCCCUUACAGUCUUUGCCAUACCCAAGUGGAGUCACAUCUUUGUCCACGAAUGAAACCCCUCAGCAGAUCUUCAUGUCUCCAGACUAAAGUUGAAACUCCCUUUAGAAGAGGAGCAGAGACGGACAAUAGGAAUUCUGAUUUUUAAGGUUUUUUUUUGAAAUGACUGAAUAUGGCUUCCGAAGGCAAGAGGAUUUGAGUCAAAGGGGAAAAGUGACUUGUACAAACAGUACACAACUCGUUCACUGUUGGUUGACUAGAGAUGGUUGGUUGACAUGGAUGAAGACAAUGAACACAACAAUCUGAAGAAGACGUUACUCUCAUUCAGAUCUGAGUUUGAGAAAGUCUACUCCUGCUCUCUAUGGGUCUUUGGAGUCUUUCCUAUUUCCCCAGACUGUGAAUUUGUAAUAGAAAUUCUGAGCACAAGACAGGGUGGUUAUCCUUCAUUGCUCACCUACUAAAUGCUAGGGACUGGACUAACAGUGUCAACAAUGGUGUUAUGCCAGCAUGCCUUAUGCUCUUAGCCUGGUAGAGAAGAGGAACAUUACAGGCACUAAAGGUGUACUUGGCAUGAACAGAGGCUGGUGCACAAAUAAAAGAGGUAAAACUCACUUGCAGGCAAUUUCUCUACACUAGAUGGCAUAAAUGCGAGAACUUGACAUAGGAAUUGAAAUUUCUUGGGUAAAGAAUGGCUCAGCUCAAGAACAAGGUGUUUGAUAUAUCCAGGUAGAGAUAUGGGGAGAAUGAAGCACGCUUAAAAACAUUUUUAAAAGAAUCCUGGUAAUGCCUGAGAAAGGGAUGAAGGAAGACUGUCAAGGAAGAAGUCACAACCCUAGUAAGAGAAAUAACAAGGCUUUGGUCUUAUUAGCAAUGCUAUGUAAACCUGGAGCUCUCCUUCACUUCCUGUAGGCCCCUUUUCUUCACCUCGAAGACAGAAUAGAGCAGCUGUGAAUACUUGGCUUUAUUCUGGUCUGUGAGUAGCCACAGACAAUCUCAGUUCAUUUUCUGUCAAGUUCAUAGACUAGUCGAGUGAAAGGAGGGUGUGAUUAUGGCUAGGAGGAGUUGGUGGGAGGAAGGCAGCGCCUUCUUUUGUUCAUUCCCUUUCAGACCUGACAUUAGCCAAAAGAAGAGAGCACAAAAUGACACCGCAUGCCCCUGCUGUGGGGAGGGCAGAAUUGGUCAUGGGCAAUUGUGAGCACCAGAGCUGACAUAGUACCCCGGUGACCUGAAUGAGUUAAGGCAUUGUCCAGAGUCUCUCACUUACAACUGGGAAGAAUUUUGCCAUUGAGAGUCAGAUUGAAUAGGUCCAUUUUUGUCCAUUGUGAUUUCAAUGACAGGUCCAGUUUGCUCUGGUCUAAACUGACUCACCAAAUCAUGCACUCAGACAAGUGAAUCGCCAACCCCUUGACACAUUGCAGAAUCUCUGCAGUGUAACAGCACUAUCACUUCAGGCUGCAGCUGGGGCAUCCUCUCCCUUCUACUCCUAUUCUCCACACAGGAUACACUCCAAAGCUUCCCUAGUCCAGAUUUUAAAAUAAGGGAUUGAUAUUGUUACUUAUCUUUCUGUGUGUUAUAGGUGGUGAAUCUGCAAUAAAAGCAGACAUGCAACAAGA